rnacentral:rRNA from 1 species
UCGAUAACGAACGAGACCUCGACCUGCUAACUAGUGCACUUAAGCAUUCGUGCUUGAGUCGAUUCGCACUUCUUAGAGGGACUAUCGGUGUGUAGCCGAUGGAAGUUCGAGGCAAUAACAGGUCUGUGAUGCCCUUAGAUGUUCUGGGCCGCACGCGCGCUACACUGACGGGUUCAUCGAGCUUGCAAUUUGUUUACCUUGACUGACAGGUCUGGGGAAUCUUUGGAAUGCCCGUCGUGCUGGGGAUAGACCCUUGGAAUUAUGGAUCUUGAACGAGGAAUUCCUAGUAAACGCAAGUCAUCAGCUUGCAUUGAUUACGUCCCUGCCCUUUGUACACACCGCCCGUCGCUAUUACCGAUUGAAUGGAUC